UCCCGUGUGGCUCAGUUGGUAGAUCAUGGUGUUUGCAACACCAGGGUUGUGGGUUUGAUUCCCAUGGGGGGAC
rfam:Salmo salar isolate Sally breed double haploid chromosome ssa01, whole genome shotgun sequence.